UGAAAUGCGUAGAUAUAUGGAGGAACACCAGUGGCGAAGGCGGCUCUCUGGUCUGUAACUGACGCUGAGGCUCGANAGCGUGGGGAGCGAACAGGAUUAGAUACCCUGGUAGUCCACGCCGUAAACGAUGAGUGCUAAGUGUUGGAGGGUUUCCGCCCUUCAGUGCUGCAGCAAACGCAUUAAGCACUCCGCCUGGGGAGUACGACCGCAAGGUUGAAACUCAAAGGAAUUGACGGGGGCCCGCACAAGCGGUGGAGCAUGUGGUUUAAUUCGAAGCAACGCGAAGAACCUUACCAGGUCUUGACAUCCUUUGACCACUCUAGAGAUAGAGCUUCCCCUUCGGGGGCAAAGUGACAGGUGGUGCAUGGUUGUCGUCAGCUCGUGUCGUGAGAUGUUGGGUUAAGUCCCGCAACGAGCGCAACCCUUAUUGUUAGUUGCCAUCAUUUAGUUGGGCACUCUAGCGAGACUGCCGGUGACAAACCGGAGGAAGGUGGGGAUGACGUCAAAUCAUCAUGCCCCUUAUGACCUGGGCUACACACGUGCUACAAUGGGAAGUACAACAAGUUGCGAAGUCGCGAGGCUAAGCUAAUCUCUUAAAGCUUCUCUCAGUUCGGAUUGUAGGCUGCAACUCGCCUACAUGAAGCCGGAAUCGCUAGUAAUCGCGGAUCAGCACGCCGCGGUGAAUACGUUCCCGGGCCUUGUACACAC
rnacentral:rRNA from 1 species